UGGGGAAUUUUGGACAAUGGGCGAAAGCCUGAUCCAGCAAUGCCGCGUGUGUGAAGAAGGCCUUCGGGUUGUAAAGCACUUUUGUCCGGAAAGAAAUCCUUGGCUCUAAUACAGUCGGGGGAUGACGGUACCGGAAGAAUAAGCACCGGCUAACUACGUGCCAGCAGCCGCGGUAAUACGUAGGGUGCAAGCGUUAAUCGGAAUUACUGGGCGUAAAGCGUGCGCAGGCGGUUUGCUAAGACCGAUGUGAAAUCCCCGGGCUCAACCUGGGAACUGCAUUGGUGACUGGCAGGCUAGAGUAUGGCAGAGGGGGGUAGAAUUCCACGUNUAGCAGUGAAAUGCGUAGAGAUGUGGAGGAAUACCGAUGGCGAAGGCAGCCCCCUGGG
rnacentral:rRNA from 1 species